rnacentral:rRNA from 1 species
GAUGAACGCUGGCGGCGUGCCUAAUACAUGCAAGUCGAGCGAACAGACGAGGAGCUUGCUCCUCUGACGUUAGCGGCGGACGGGUGAGUAACACGUGGAUAACCUACCUAUAAGACUGAGAUAACUUCGGGAAACCGGAGCUAAUACCGGAUAAUAUAUUGAACCGCAUGGUUCAAUAGUGAAAGACGGUUUUGCUGUCACUUAUAGAUGGAUCCGCGCCGCAUUAGCUAGUUGGUAAGGUAACGGCUUACCAAGGCAACGAUGCGUAGCCGACCUGAGAGGGUGAUCGGCCACACUGGAACUGAGACACGGUCCAGACUCCUACGGGAGGCAGCAGGAGGGAAUCUUCCGCAAUGGGCGAAAGCCUGACGGAGCAACGCCGCGUGAGUGAUGAAGGUCUUCGGAUCGUAAAACUCUGUUAUUAGGGAAGAACAAAUGUGUAAGUAACUAUGCACGUCUUGACGGUAACUAAUCAGAAAGCCACGGCUAACUACGU